CCACUGGACGACGAAGAUUUGAUUUUGUACGUCCUUGCUGGAUUAGAUGAAGAUUUCGAGCCAGUGGUGUCUUUGCUCGUUGGCCGACAAGAUCCAAUCACCGUUGCUGAGAUGCACUCUCAGCUUCUGAGCUUUGAAU
rnacentral:snoRNA from 1 species